CCAGACUCCUACGGGAGGCAGCAGUAGGGAAUCUUCGGCAAUGGGGGGAACCCUGACCGAGCAACGCCGCGUGAGUGAAGAAGGUUUUCGGAUCGUAAAGCUCUGUUGUAAGAGAAGAACGAGUGUGAGAGUGGAAAGUUCACACUGUGACGGUAUCUUACCAGAAAGGGACGGCUAACUACGUGCCAGCAGCCGCGGUAAUACGUAGGUCCCGAGCGUUGUCCGGAUUUAUUGGGCGUAAAGCGAGCGCAGGCGGUUAGAUAAGUCUGAAGUUAAAGGCUGUGGCUUAACCAUAGUACGCUUUGGAAACUGUUUAACUUGAGUGCAAGAGGGGAGAGUGGAAUUCCAUGUGUAGCGGUGAAAUGCGUAGAUAUAUGGAGGAACACCGGUGGCGAAAGCGGCUCUCUGGCUUGUAACUGACGCUGAGGCUCGAAAGCGUGGGGAGCAAACAGGAUUAGAUACCCUGGUAGUCC
rnacentral:rRNA from 1 species